rnacentral:rRNA from 1 species
UACGUAGGUGGCAAGCGAUACUCGGAAUCACUAGGCGUAAAGCGCAGGUAGGCGGUUUGAUAAGUCUGUUGUGAAAGCUCCCGGCUUAACUGGGAGAGGUCAACGGAAACUAUCAGGCUAGAGUGUGGUAGAGGUAGCUGGAAUUCCCGGUGUAGCGGUGAAAUGCGUAGAUAUCGGGAGGAAUACCUAUGGCGAAAGCAGGCUACUGGACCAUCACUGACGCUGAUCUGCGAAAGCUAGGGGGGCAAACAGG